CCCUUAGAUGUUCUGGGCCGCACGCGCGCUACACUGACGGAGGCAGCGAGCGUGUCCUUCGCCGGCAGGUGCGGGCAAUCUUGCGAGUCUCCGUCGUGCUGGGGAUAGAUGGUUGCAAUUGUCGAUCUUGAACGAGGAAUUCCUAGUAAGCGCGAGUCAUCAGCUCGCGCUGAUUACGUCCCUGCCCUUUGUACACACCGCCCGUCGCUACUACAGAGUGCCCGUGUCCAAGAAACGGUCGGACCUGUGCGGCCUCUCCGGGCGACCGGAGGGCCGUUACGGGGAAGACCCUUUAUUUGACGCAGGUCGAUGAAGUAAAAGUCGUAACA
rnacentral:rRNA from 1 species